rnacentral:rRNA from 1 species
AUUGAACGCUGGCGGCAGGCUUAACACAUGCAAGUCGAGCGGUAACAGAGAGAAGCUUGCUUCUCUGCUGACGAGCGGCGGACGGGUGAGUAAUGCCUAGGAAUUUGCCUAGUAGUGGGGGAUAACUUGCCGAAAGGUAAGCCAAUACCGCAUACGUCCUACGGGAGAAAGGAGGGGACCUUCGGGCCUUUCGCUAUUAGAUGAGCCUAGGUCGGAUUAGUUAGUUGGUGAGGUAAUGGCUCACCAAGACCGCGAUCCGUAACUGGUCUGAGAGGAUGGUCAGUCACACUGGAACUGAGACACGGUCCAGACUCCUACGGGAGGCAGCAGUGGGGAAUAUUGGACAAUGGGGGGAACCCUGAUCCAGCCAUGCCGCGUGUGUGAAGAAGGUCUUAGGAUUGUAAAGCACUUUAAGUUGGGAGGAAGAGCAGUUAACUAAUAUUUGACUGUUUUGACGUUACCGACAGAAUAAGCACCGGCUAACUUCGUGCCAGCCGCCGCAGUAA